GACGAACGCUGGCGGCGUGCCUAACACAUGCAAGUCGAGCGAGUGAAUCUCCUUCGGGAGUGAAGCUAGCGGCGGACGGGUGAGUAACACGUGGGCAACCUGCCUCAUAGAGGGGAAUAGCCUUCCGAAAGGAAGAUUAAUACCGCAUAAGAUUGUAGCUUCGCAUGAAGUAGCAAUUAAAGGAGCAAUCCGCUAUGAGAUGGGCCCGCGGCGCAUUAGCUAGUUGGUGAGGUAACGGCUCCCCAAGGCGACGAUGCGUAGCCGACCUGAGAGGGUGAUCGGCCACAUUGGGACUGGGACACGGCCCAGACUCCUACGGGAGGCAGCAGUGGGGAAUAUUGCACAAUGGGGGAAACCUUGAUGCAGCAACGCCGCGUGAGUGAUGACGGCCUUCGGGUUGUAAAGCUCUGUCUUCAGGGACGAUAAUGACGGUACCUGAGGAGGAAGCCACGGCUAACUACGUGCCAGCCGCCGCAGUAACAC
rnacentral:rRNA from 1 species